UGCCCAUCAACGGACUCCUUCCACAGGGUCACCUGCAAGCCAGCACACGGAGCCUGUUACAGGAAGAACAACUAUUCAUGAACAAGAAACCACUGAGGGAAUCCUAGAAGACAACAGUGAGGCUGAAGCACCUCCCUCCACCGAGACCAAGAUACUGUACCAGAAGGCUAAGUGGGAAGGCUACGUGCUGACUGCAUGGCCCCCUACCCAGGUUGGCAUAGCACCAUGUGCAACCUAUGUUUCCUCCAAGAAGGAAAAGAGCACAGGGUGACAUCCAGUUAUCCAGCAUUACUGGCUUUAGGUCUUAGGGCCUUACCUCUGCUGUGGACAGACGACAGAAAAGCCAACCAAAGCCAAGGGACAAACGAGGAGCAUCGAGGGGAAGGGUAUGGGAGUGGUAGCCAGGCAACAAGCCCCGCCCAGCUGCUCCUACCACACUCG